CCACAUAUAGCGGAAAAUUUAAAUGAAUAUUCACAUUAUACCCUGUUGAUUGAAUAGAUGCACGAUGAACAUCGAAAAAAUGCUGGAGAUGAAAACGCAAUGGCUUGUGCAACUGCGCAUGCGACAGAUGAAAUUUGGAUUAUGGAUAACAAUAUUCACUGCUUCAUUGCUGGUUUUCUGCUAUCAAAGCAGCAUCAGACUUUCAGAUAGUCCUCCUGACUGGCCACCAAGGGGCUACUCAUUCACGGAGUAACACGUACUGGCUCCCCAUCCAGAUACAUAUCCCUAUCCAUAUCCACAAACUCGCCAUCAUCCUCUUACCCUGGCGCUUUAAGCUUAGAACUCAGCCGCAACUUGCAUCCUGGCGGAACCUUGCAUCCUGGUGGAACCUUGCAUCCUGGUGGAACCUUGCAUCCUUGUGGAGCAUUGCAUCCUGGUGGAAGUGAUACCCCGAUCUUACGCUGUUUAAGGGCACCAGUAUCCUGGCCUUACUUUUUCUGCUUGAUUUCUAUUUUUUAUUAAAUGUUAAGUAAGUUA